AUUGAACGCUGGCGGCAGGCCUAACACAUGCAAGUCGAGCGGAUGAAGGGAGCUUGCUCCUGGAUUCAGCGGCGGACGGGCGAGUAAUGCCUAGGAAUCUGCCUGGUAGUGGGGGAUAACGUCCGGAAACGGGCGCUAAUACCGCAUACGUCCUGAGGGAGUAAGUGUGGGAUCUUCGGACCUCACGCUAUCAGAUGAGCCUAGGUCGGAUUAGCUAGUUGGUGGGGUAAAGGCCUACCAAGGCGACGAUCCGUAACUGGUCUGAGAGGAUGAUCAGUCACACUGGAACUGAGACACGGUCCAGACUCCUACGGGAGGCAGCAGUGGGGAAUAUUGGACAAUGGGCGAAAGCCUGAUCCAGCCAUGCCGCGUGUGUGAAGAAGGUCUUCGGAUUGUAAAGCACUUUAAGUUGGGAGGAAGAGCAGUAAGUUAAUACCUUGCUGUUUUGACGUUACCAACAGAAUAAGCACCGGCUAACUUCGUG
rnacentral:rRNA from 1 species